rnacentral:lncRNA from 1 species
UGGAGUUUAUCAUCAUUAGUCAUAAUUACCUACUUGAAAAUUUUCAUUAUUGCUCGCCAACCUGCCAUUGAUCCACUUGCUACCAAACGUCCCUGGCAGCGGAAAUCAAAUCCCUUAUCAUGAAAAAAAGAAAACACACAAAAGCAAUGCAUAUAUUCCAUAGUAGCCACACAAUGCAAAACCAUCAUGCCAUUUUCUGCCUUUUCAUUUUUUUCAUUUUCGAUCAUUCUACGCAUAUGGAUGAAGGAAUGAACUCAAUUUCUUUUAACUAAAAGCAUAAAUGAGAGCACGCACAAUCAGAUACUCGAUUCUUUAGCUACAAACACGUGAAGAAUAAUCCAGAUGUCUUCAACAAUAGCCAAAAAGACAUGAUCAGGACGGAAAGAGAAGAUUUCAGCUAAGUAAAAC